UACGUAGGGUGCGAGCGUUGUCCGGAAUUAUUGGGCGUAAAGGGCUCGUAGGCGGUCUGUUGCGUCGGGAGUGAAAACUCAGGGCUUAACCCUGAGCCUGCUUCCGAUACGGGCAGACUAGAGGUAUGCAGGGGAGAACGGAAUUCCUGGUGUAGCGGUGAAAUGCGCAGAUAUCAGGAGGAACACCGGUGGCGAAGGCGGUUCUCUGGGCAUUACCUGACGCUGAGGCACGAAAGCGUGGGGAGCAAACAGG
rnacentral:rRNA from 1 species